rnacentral:rRNA from 1 species
UGUGGUAAUCCUAGAGCUAAUACWUGCACCAAAGCUCCGAUUUUUUGAARAGCGCAUCUAUUAGAUUAAAACCAAUCGGGUUCGCGCCCGUCAAUUGGUGACUCUGAAUAACUAUAGCUGAUCGCAUGGUCUUGAACCGGCGACGUGUCUAUCAAGUGUCUGCCUUAUCAACUUUCGAUGGUAGUUUAUGUGCCUACCAUGGUUGUAACGGGUAACGGAGAAUAAGGGUUCGACUCCGGAGAGGGAGCCUGAGAAACGGCUACCACAUCCAAGGAAGGCAGCAGGCGCGCAAAUUACCCACUCUCGGCAAGAGGAGGUAGUGACGAAAAAUAACGAGACCGUACUCUUUGAGGCCGGUUAUCGGAAUGGGUACAAUUUAAACCCGUUAACGAGGAUCUAUGAGAGGGCAAGUCUGGUGCCAGCAGCCGCGGUAAUUCCAGCUCUCAAAGUGUAUAUCGUCAUUGCUGCGGUUAAAAAGCUCGUAGUUGGAUCUGCGCCUCAGGACUUGGUCCGCCCACUGGGCGAGAACUAGGCUCCUGGGCUAGUUCUGCUGGUUUUCUCUACGUUGCCUUCAUCGGUCGCGUAGGGUGGCUAGCGAGUUUACUUUGAAAAAAUUAGAGUGCUUCACGCGAGCUUAUGUCUGAAUACUCGUGCAUGGAAUAAUAGAAUAGGAUCUCGGUUCUAUUUUGUUGGUUUUCUGAUCUGAGAUAAUGGUUAAGAGGGACGGACGGGGGCAUUCGUAUCGCUGCGUGAGAGGUGAAAUUCUUGGACCGUAGCGAGACGCCCGACUGCGAAAGCAUUUGCCAAGAAUGUCUUCAUUAAUCAAGAACGAAAGUCA